GUAGGUGAACCUGCGGAAGGAUCAUUACUGAGUUCAUGCCCUCACGGGUAGAUCUCCACCCUUGAAUAUUAAACCUUUGUUGCUUUGGCGGGCCGCUUCGGCCACCGGCUUUGGCUGGUGAGUGCCCGCCAGAGAAACCAAAACUCUGAAUUAUAGUGUCGUCUGAGUACUAUACAAUAGUUAAAACUUUCAACAACGGAUCUCUUGGUUCUG
rnacentral:misc_RNA from 1 species